rnacentral:rRNA from 1 species
GACGAACGCUGGCGGCGUGCCUAAUACAUGCAAGUGGGACGCAAGGGAACACACUGUGCUUGCACACCGUGUUUUCUUGAGCCGCGAACGGGUGAGUAACGCGUAGGUAACCUGCCUAUUAGCGGGGGAUAACUAUUGGAAACGAUAGCUAAUACCGCAUAAUAUUAAUUAUUGCAUGAUAAUUGAUUGAAAGAUGCAAGCGCAUCACUAGUAGAUGGACCUGCGUUGUAUUAGCUAGUUGGUAAGGUAAGAGCUUACCAAGGCGACGAUACAUAGCCGACCUGAGAGGGUGAUCGGCCACACUGGGACUGAGACACGGCCCAGACUCCUACGGGAGGCAGCAGUAGGGAAUCUUCGGCAAUGGACGAAAGUCUGACCGAGCAACGCCGCGUGAGUGAAGAAGGUUUUCGGAUCGUAAAGCUCUGUUGUAAGUCAAGAACGUGUGUGAGAGUGGGAAGUUCACACAGUGACGGUAGCU